UACGUAGGGGGCAAGCGUUGUCCGGAAUCAUUGGGCGUAAAGCGCGUGUAGGCGGCUCGGUAAGUCUGUUCUGAAAGUCCAAGGCUCAACCUUGGGAUGCGGAUGGAUACUGCCGAGCUCGAGUCCGGAAGAGGCGAGUGGAAUUCCUGGUGUAGCGGUGAAAUGCGUAGAUAUCAGGAGGAACACCGGCGGUGUAGACGGCUUUCUGGACCGUAGCUGACGCUGAGACACGAAAGCGUGGGUAGCAAACAGG
rnacentral:rRNA from 1 species